rnacentral:ncRNA from 2 species
UACGAAGGAUCCAAGCGUUAUCCGGAUUUAUUGGGUUUAAAGGGUGCGUAGGCGGCUUAUUAAGUCAGUGGUGAAAGCCUGCAGCUUAACUGCAGAACUGCCAUUGAUACUGAUGAGCUUGAGUAUAGUUGAGGUGGGCGGAAUGUGUCAUGUAGCGGUGAAAUGCUUAGAUAUGACACAGAACACCGAUUGCGAAGGCAGCUCGCUAAACUAUAACUGACGCUGAGGCACGAAAGCGUGGGGAGCGAACAGG